GCUAAACGCGAAGAACCUUACCAGGGUUUGACAUCCUACUAAUUUCUCCGAAAGGAGAGAGUGUCUUCGGACCGUAGUGACAGGUGAUGCAUGGCCGUCGUCAGCUCGUGUCGUGAGAUGUUUGGUUAAGUCCAUCAACGAGCGCAACCCUUGUAACUAGUUGGAUUUUUCUAGUUAGACUGCCCCGGUAACGGGGAGGAAGGAGGGGAUGAUGUCAGGUCAGUAUUUCCCUUACACCCUGGGCUAGAAACACGCUACAAUGGCCGGUACAAAGGGCAGCCAAGUCGCGAGACGGAGCAAAUCCCAUCAAAGCCGGUCUCAGUUCGGAUAGGAGGCUGAAACUCGCCUCCUUGAAGUCGGAAUCGCUAGUAACGGUAGGUCAGCACACUACCGUGAAUACGUUCCCCCGGGGUCUUGUACAC
rnacentral:rRNA from 1 species